GACGAACGCUGGCGGCGUGCCUAAUACAUGCAAGUCGAACGAAGCUUUUUUAACUGGUGCUUGCACCGACUUAAACAACUGAGUGGCGAACGGGUGAGUAACACGUGGGUAACCUGCCCCAAAGCGGGGGAUAACAUUUGGAAACAGAUGCUAAUACCGCAUAACCACAGAAACCACAUGGUUUCUGUGUCAAAGAUGGUUUCGGCUAUCACUUUGGGAUGGACCCGCGGCGUAUUAGCUAGUUGGUAAGGUAAUGGCUUACCAAGGCAAUGCUAAGUAGCCGAACUGAGAGGUUGAUCGGCCACAUUGGGACUGAGACACGGCCCAAACUCCUACGGGAGGCAGCAGUAGGGAAUCUUCCACAAUGGACGAAAGUUUGAUGGAGCAACGCCGCGUGAGUGAAGAAGGUUUUCGGAUCGUAAAACUCUGUUGUCAGAGAAGAACGUGUGCGAGAGUAACUGUUCGUGCAGUGACGGUAUCUGGCCAGAAAGCCACGGCUAACUACGUGCCAGCCGCCGCCGUAA
rnacentral:rRNA from 1 species